UGUGUGUGUGUGUGUGUGUGUGUGUGUGUGUGUGUGUGUGUUAUGUUCUUUAAAACUGCUAAUUGCCAGGGUGAAAAUAUUUUCACACAUCAGCUCUUGGGGAGAAUGUCAUUAAGGAACACACUGGCAGCCUGGUAGAAGUCAAACGGCUGCAGCCAACAUGGAAGUCCUAAUUAAUAGCUGUUCCCGCAGCUCUUGGGCACGGCAGCGGAAGUAAUUAUCAUGAUUUAAUUGACUUUUCUCCCCUCUGUUAUGCACUCUGCUUUUCCCAUUUUCUUGAGCUGGAAAGGUCUUCUUUCCCCCUCCAUCUCUCUUUUUCCCAUCAUGCAUAGUUUCUCACACCUGCACUCUGUCAACUCUUAUUAAACUGAGUACUGUGACAGCUCAAAUCUUUAUGUCACAGAGAAGUCUGUAACAUAAAGUCUGAUCGAUGACUCAGUUCUUACAAACAUUGGUUUUGUAGAGGUGUGUUGUGACCCAGCAGCAGUGUGAUCCAUGGGGAAGAGAAUCGUUGCUCUCACAAGUUGGUUCCUAGGGACUACAAAGGCCGUAAGGCCACCUGCCCUUCCACCAACCAAGAGAGGUGGCUCUUGUGGUAUCACAAGGGUUCCAGGGAUUCCUAGAGAGAGAAAAAAAAAGUGGCACCUCUGAGCUCUUGGAGCUGAAAAGUAGGACCCAUCUAUGCCAGAGCCCUUUCCUGUACCUUGUUACCUUCUCAGCUUGGGCUGGCUUGACUCCUCUGCCCCACCUGGUGACAGAGCCCUGAGUCUUCAUGUUUGAGUUCUGCCUCCCAGGUCAGCCUGAACGCCUCUUCCAGGCAGGUUGACCCACCAGGCUGAGCUUUGUGCUUCCUGGGUCAUGGAUGAGCUCCUGGGGCCAGCUCUGCUCCCUGGUCUCAGCCAUGGUGCUUGGGUCACGUUUCCUGGCUCACCAUCUGCUUCUCAGGAGCAUAGACAGUUCAUUUAAAAAUUCACGAGAGGCCAGUGUAGCACACACCACCUAGAUGGCUUGGGUCUAUAUCCUAAUCUGGCCACCUGCUUGCUGUUCAAGUUACUGGACAAGUUACUUAAACUUUCUGGGCCCAAGAAUUCUUGUUUAAUCUGAAAUGUCACCUACUUUCUAUUAUUGUUAUGAAGGACAGAGUGAUUAGAUCUCUCACACACAUUCGGUAAGGUUUUAGGUUUUAAGGUGCAAAGAAAUAGGUAAGGCAGCUCCUGGUGUCUAACAAAGCAAAUGAGAAUAUUGUGGAGCUACAGAAACUAAAGCCAGAGAGGUCUGUCUCUGCCCACUAGGGCAUACACAGGGAUGUUGAAGUGUGGGAGACAGCAGGUAACCUUUUAGAAGGUCAGAUAAUAUUGGCUGGUACUAUACUGGACUAUUUCUCAUGGAGCUAAAAUCAGGACCAAGACAUUUUCUUGGGUCUCAUUGGGGAUUAUUGAGAGCGCUUGACUUUUAAUUAGAACAUUAUAGGUAAUAAUAAAAUCAGCAGAAGAGACGUUAAGUAGGAACUGCUCACUCUCUCUCUCUCCUUUGUCCCUGCUUGGGAAUUGAGCCAGGCUUAUAUAAGUGCAUGUGCGCGCAUGCACACACACACACACACACACAUACACACACAUGUGAAAAUAUAAGAAGUACAGUGCUUGGUACAUCUGUGGACUCAGCCAUCUCUGGGCUUGUUGAAGGGUAUCCCUCCAUGGAUAAGGGAAUUCCAUUUAAAGAAAUGAGCAUCUGGGGAGUCAAAAUCCUCCUCACCAUAACCAUAAUGUAGAGGGAGGCCAGACAGCAGAGGUGAGGAGGAGAGUACACUGGACUGGAAGCAAAUUCCUCUUAGAAGCUCCUGUAAGACAGCAAGGAAACAGCCCCUCGUGGGUAUACGUGAAUGUGGAGAGAAGAUGAGUGAUGCUUCAAAGCUUUUGUGGGUUGAGGAGAGAGGGUGCAGGUGUGUAGGUGUUUUAAGAGUGCCCACCUGAGGUGUCUGGAUUGCUGGGGCUCCCUCAAUAUCAGGGCUUUCCCCAGCUUUCUGGAAAAUGUGGCUGAGGUAACUGUAAAUGAUGCAGGUCUCAAGAGUCUCCAUGGUUUAGCCUACUGUUAGUUUCUCAGUCAGAAGCAGGGCUGUAGAAGGCUUGUGGCAUUUUCCAUAUCGUUUAGAGUCCGAUUCCCGCCCCUACCCUCUCCACCUCCACACACUUGUGGUUCCCAAGGUCACCACAGAGGAAGCAAGGGUCCUAGAGAGAAAGGGCCCUUCUGUUCCCUAAUAAAACAAAGCUUAAGGACACUGCCAUUUCUGAAAACAAGUUACAGGCAUGUGGGUACAAAGCAUCCUGGGAGAUGUAGUUUUUGACCAGGCAGCCCCCUUUCUUUAGAAAGGGCACACUAGUGUUGUGUUGGAGGUGGGUCAUUUGGCCUGCUAGGCUCUUUUUACAAUGCUUCCCUAGAGUCUCAAGAGAGGACCUGUCUUGGGGUGAGGACAGCCUUAAGACCAGGACAGAAGAGAGAUAAGUUGUAGAUCUGGUCUUGGCUUCUCCAUUUAUCUCAUUUCUUGGCCCACUGGACCAAAUUCAGGGGAUUAAAAAAACCUAGGGCUCUUAUCAGAGGCAGAGUCAAGUUGGGGUACUUUGAACAGCCCCCCCCCCUUUCAUAGCAUUCCUCCUUAUCUCUGCUGUGGGACACUGGGACCUCUGCCUUGUUCCACAUCACAAAGGGUUUCACCUAGGACCAAUGCCAGAACUGGCAGAGUGCCUUCAACAUUUGAUGACCACAAACUCAUGUGAUCAACAUUGCUGAAGGAGUGAAGAGAGAGAGAAUGGGUUGCCCUGCUUCUGGAAGUGGAGGAUCUGUGUGACUCGGCCUGUGUGGUUUAGGACCUGUGCUGGAAUUUUCUCUUAGCCCCUACUAGGUAUCAGUUCAGACAAAGUCCUUCCUCUUGACCCUGCCCCACCCCCUCCAGCCUAACUCUUACUUCCACUCUACACCGAGCCUGGCUAACACAGGUGAGGGCUUGGCUUUCCAGCUGAGUGACCCCAGGGUCUCAGACCUCCUGCAUUCUUCUGUCAGAAGGGGAGAGUUUGUCACUGCCCCCACCUGCUGUCAUUGUUUAAGGUCUGGAUUUAUUGGCCCUGGUUAGUUAUUUGGUGAGGUGAUUGGUAGCUCACCUCCCCCAUCCUUGGUUAAUCAGUGGGCCUCUUUACAGACCUCUGACCACCAGACAUGGAGUUGGGGACAGAAGAAAUCAAACUGUAACAGGAGCAAGCUGGGCAAGGUCCGAAGGGACAUCAAGGAGGGGGGGGAACCACCUCUCUGCUCCUUCCUUCCUGUACAGUCAGGGCCCCUGUGACCUCUACAGACAGUGCCCUUGGUCUGGGUCUGGUGACACCAGGGAGGACAAUGGGAGGAAGGAGAACGCUCAGUGGUU
rnacentral:lncRNA from 1 species